rnacentral:tRNA from 1 species
GCCUGGGUGGCUCAGUCGGUUAAGCGCCUGACUCGGGCUCAGGUCAUGCUCUCACGGUUCGUGGGUUCGAGCCCCACGUCGGGCU